GUGGGGAAUAUUGCACAAUGGGGGAAACCCUGAUGCAGCGACGCCGCGUGGAGGAAGAAGGUCUUCGGAUUGUAAACUCCUGUUGUUGGGGAAGAUAAUGACGGUACCCAACAAGGAAGUGACGGCUAACUACGUGCCAGCAGCCGCGGUAAAACGUAGGUCACAAGCGUUGUCCGGAAUUACUGGGUGUAAAGGGAGCGCAGGCGGGAAGACAAGUUGGAAGUGAAAUCUAUGGGCUCAACCCAUAAACUGCUUUCAAAACUGUUUUUCUUGAGUAGUGCAGAGGUAGGCGGAAUUCCCGGUGUAGCGGUGGAAUGCGUAGAUAUCGGGAGGAACACCAGUGGCGAAGGCGGCCUACUGGGCACCAACUGACGCUGAGGCUCGAAAGUGUGGGUAGCAAACAGGAUUAGAAACCCGAGUAGUCC
rnacentral:rRNA from 1 species